rnacentral:rRNA from 1 species
GUCCACGCCGUAAACGAUGUCGACUUGGAGGUUGUGCCCUUGAGCCGUGGCUUCCGGAGCUAACGCGUUAAGUCGACCGCCUGGGGAGUACGGCCGCAAGGUUAACUCAAAUGAAUUGACGGGCCGCACAAGCGGUGGAGCAUGUGGUUUAAUUCGAUGCAACGCGAAGAACCUUACCUGGUCUUGACAUCCACGGAAGUUUUCAGAGAUGAAGAAUGUGCCUUCGGGAACCGUGAGACAGGUGCUGCAUGGCUGUCGU